rnacentral:misc_RNA from 1 species
GAUGAAGAACGCAGCGAAAUGCGAUAAGUAAUGUGAAUUGCAGAAUUCCGUGAAUCAUCGAAUCUUUGAACGCACAUUGCGCCCUCUGGUAUUCCGGGGGGCAUGCCUGUCCGAGCGUCAUUUGCAACCCUCAAGCCCGGCUUGUGUGAUGGGUGCCGUCCCCUACGGGACGCGCCCCGAAGGCAAUGGCGGCGUCGCGGUUAUCCGAUCAGCCAAAGUGUAUGGGGCUUUGUCACACACUUUACGGCCCGGACCGGCGCCAGUCCGAAUCAAUCUUUUUUCUAAAGUUGACCUCGGAUCAGGUAGGGAUACCCGCUGAACUUAAGCAUAUCAAUAAGCGGAGGA